rnacentral:lncRNA from 1 species
CGUUCCACCUUUUCCUGCCCUUUCUGUGGAGCCCACAAUCUGGACCAACAGGAGCUGAACAUGGACACUGCCCUAGUCUGUGUGUCCUGUAUGUUCAGCCAUGCCGGGGUGACCCCAGCUACAAGAGCUCCAACUUCCUCCAGCACCUGCUCCACCGGCACAAGUUCUCCUACGACACGUUUGUGAUGAGGAUAAGGGUUGGGGUCUGGGCACUGUGUCUUCUAUUCAGCAGCCCCUUCACUUCCUGUAUACUGGGGAGGAGGGGAGCUUGGCCUCCAAUAAAUGUUGCAAUUUAAAACCACUGCAAUGCAAACCAACGAGUACAGCAUGGACAUUGUUGUUAUUCGGCAGAAAGUAUGAAGGUUCCCAAAAAUAAAGAUUUAAGGUAUUUCCUUUGACUGUUCAAAUGAAACAUUUUCAAACUCCAGGAAAAAGCCAUCACAUGACAGACGUUCUUGUAAAAGCACCACAGAUUAGUUCUGUUAAAGUUUAUUCUCAAGUGCAUAAUUUGAUGGCUUUGAAUAAGAGGGACUACAGUUGAAUUGCUUGAC